GAUUUCUUGUUACAAAAUUUCUUUUGCCAUGAAAUAAAUUCUGUACCUCGACAGUUGAGUAUUUCUACAGACACUGUAAAUGAUGAGUAUUUAAUCUGUUGUUGGUUGUCCGUAUGCAUGCUAGCUAGAAAUACCUUUAUUUUGUGAAGUUAUUUUUUAGAAACGAGAAGUUCAUCUUCCUUUACACAAUAGGUGUUGAUUUUUCUUCACACAAUACCUGCACUCAAAUAACAUAGUUGUGGUUCCGGAAGCCAUUGGGUCUCUUGUAAAACUCCAGUGUCUGGAUCUUAGUGACAAUGCCUUAGAAAUUGUUUGCCCAGAAAUUGGUCGUCUGAGAGCUUUACGUCAUCUUCGAUUAGCUAAUAACCAACUGCAAUUCCUACCUCCAGUACCUCACUGUGGACCGAAAUCGUCUAUGGUAUGUGCCGCGCCAUCUCUGCCAGCUGCCCAGCCUCAAUGAGCUCUCCAUGGCUGGAAACCGUCUUGCAUUUUUGCCACUUGAUUUAGGUCGAUCUCGAGAACUACAAUAUGUAUAUGUGGAUAACAACAUUCACCUGAAAGGCUUGCCAUCUUAUCUGUACAAUAAAGUC
rnacentral:sRNA from 1 species